GUUGGAGGCUAACGCAGGGAACUGAAACAUCUUAGUACCUGCAGGAAAAGAAAAUAAAUAAUGAUUCCCCUAGUAGUGGCGAGCGAACGGGGAUUAGCCCAAACCACCCAUGUUACGGCAUGUGUGGGGUUGUAGGACCACGCUCUCGCAAGACAGUUAUUGAGAAGAAACGACUGGAAAGUCGUGCCAUAGACGGUGAUAGCCCGGUAUUCUAAGGUAACCGAAGCGUAGUGGUAUCCUGAGUAGCGCGGAGCACGAGGAAUUCUGCGUGAAUCAGCCGGGACCAUCCGGUAAGGCUAAAUACUCCCGAGAGACCGAUAGCGAACCAGUACUGUGAAGGAAAGGUGAAAAGCACUUCGAAUAGAAGAGUGAAAUAGUCCCUGAAACCAUGCGCCUACAAGCGGUCGGAGCAGCUUAAGUUGUGACGGCGUGCCUUUUGCAUAAUGAACCUACGAGUUACUUUUUCCGGCAAGGUUAAGCAUCUUGAGAUGUGGAUCCGAAGCGAAAGCGAGUCUGAACAGGGCGGAUAGUCGGAAGGAGUAGACGCGAAACCAAGUGAUCUACCCUUGGGCAGGUUGAAGGUUAGGUAACACUAACUGGAGGACCGAACCGAUAAGCGUUGAAAAGCUUCCGGAUGACCUGAGGGUGGGGGUGAAAGGCUAAUCAAACUUGGAGAUAGCUCGUACUCCCCGAAAUGCAUUUAGGUGCAGCCUUGAGAGUUACUAAUGUGAGGUAGAGCGACUGAUAAGAUGCGAGGGCUUCACCGCCUAUCAAGUCUUGAUAAACUCCGAAUGCGCAUUAGUUCUAUCUCAGGAGUGAGGGCAUGGGUGCUAAGGUCCAUGUCCUAAAGGAGAAGAAUCCAGACCAUCAGCUAAGGUCCCCAAAUAAACACUAAGUUGAACUAACGAAGUCAGAUUGCUAAGACAGCUAGGAUGUUGGCUUGGAAGCAGCCAUUCAUUUAAAGAGUGCGUAACAGCUCACUAGUCGAGGAGUUUGGCGUGGAUAAUAAUCGGGCAUUAAGUGUUUUACCGAAGCUAUGGGAUACGUAAGUAUCGGUAGGGGAGCAUUCCACUCUGCGUUGAAGGCGAAGCGUGAGCUUUACUGGAGCGUGUGGAAAAGCAAAUGUAGGUAUAAGUAACGAUAAAGGGGGUGAGAAACCCCCUCGCCGCAAGACUAAGGUUUCCUGAUCAACGCUAAUCGGAUCAGGGUUAGUCGGGUCCUAAGGCUCAGCCGAACGGUGAGGCCGAUGGCAGAACAGGUUAAUAUUCCUGUACUACCUAUA
rnacentral:rRNA from 1 species